AGUGAACGCUGGCGGUAGGCCUAACACAUGCAAGUCGAACGGCAGCACAGUAAGAGCUUGCUCUUACGGGUGGCGAGUGGCGGACGGGUGAGGAAUACAUCGGAAUCUACUUUUUCGUGGGGGAUAACGUAGGGAAACUUACGCUAAUACCGCAUAUGACCUACGGGUGAAAGCAGGGGAUCUUCGGACCUUGCGCGAUUGAAUGAGCCGAUGUCGGAUUAGCUAGUUGGCGGGGUAAAGGCCCACCAAGGCGACGAUCCGUAGCUGGUCUGAGAGGAUGAUCAGCCACACUGGAACUGAGACACGGUCCAGACUCCUACGGGAGGCAGCAGUGGGGAAUAUUGGGCAAUGGGCGCAAGCCUGAUCCAGCCAUACCGCGUGGGUGAAGAAGGCCUUCGGGUUGUAAAGCCCUUUUGUUGGGAAAGAACAGCAGCAGGUUAAUACCCCGCUGUUCUGACGGUACCCAAAGAAUAAGCACCGGCUAACUUCGUG
rnacentral:rRNA from 1 species